GGCGGACGGGUGAGUAAUACAUAGGAAUCUACCCUGUAGUGGGGGACAACCUGGGGAAACUCAGGCUAAUACCGCAUAAUCUCUACGGAGGAAAGGGGGCUUCGGCUCUCGCUAUUGGAUGAGCCUAUGUCUGAUUAGCUUGUUGGUGGGGUAACGGCCUACCAAGGCGACGAUCAGUAGCUGGUCUGAGAGGAUGAUCAGCCACACUGGGACUGAGACACGGCCCAGACUCCUACGGGAGGCAGCAGUGGGGAAUAUUGGACAAUGGGGGAAACCCUGAUCCAGCAAUGCCGCGUGGGUGAAGAAGGCUCGCGGGUUGUAAAGCCCUUUCAGUAGCGAGGAAAAGCUGAAGGUUAAUACCCUUCAGUCUUGACGUUAACUACAGAAGAAGCACCGGCUAACUCUGUGCCAGCAGCCGCGGUAAUACAGAGGGUGCGAGCGUUAAUCGGAAUUACUGGGCGUAAAGCGCGCGUAGGCGGUUUACUC
rnacentral:rRNA from 1 species